ACAAGCGGUGGAUGAUGUGGAUUAAUUCGAUGCAAACGCGAAAACCUUACCUACCCUUGUACAUGUCUGGAACCUUGCUGAGAGGCGAGGGUGCCUUCGGAGCCAGAACACAGGUGCUGCAUGGCUGUCGUCAGCUCGUGUCGUGAGAUGUUGGGUUAAGUCCCGCAACGAGCGCAACCCUUGUCAUUAGUUGCCAUCAUUUAGUUGGGCACUCUAAUGAGACUGCCGGUGACAAACCGGAGGAAGGUGGGGAUGACGUCAAGUCCUCAUGGCCCUUACGGCCUGGGCUACACACGUGCUACAAUGGUCGGUACAAAGGGUUGCCAAGCCGCGAGGUGGAGCUAAUCCCAUAAAACCGAUCGUAGUCCGGAUCGCAGUCUGCAACUCGACUGCGUGAGGUCGGAAUCGCUAGUAAUCGUGAAUCAGAAUGUCACGGUGAAUACGUUCCCGGGCCUU
rnacentral:rRNA from 1 species